rnacentral:rRNA from 1 species
GUCGAGCGGCAGCGACAAUAAAGAUUCUUCGGAUGAUUUAUUGGGCGGCGAGCGGCGGACGGGUGAGUAAUGGCUGGGAACCUGCCUGGUAGAGGGGGAUAACCACUGGAAACGGUGGCUAAUACCGCAUGAUGUCUUUGGACCAAAGAGGGGGACCUUAUGGCCUCUCGCUACCGGAUGGGCCCAGUUGGGAUUAGCUAGUUGGUGGGGUAAAGGCUCACCAAGGCGACGAUCCCUAGCUGGUUUGAGAGGAUGAUCAGCCACACUGGAACUGAGACACGGUCCAGACUCCUACGGGAGGCAGCAGUGGGGAAUAUUGCACAAUGGGCGCAAGCCUGAUGCAGCCAUGCCGCGUGUGUGAAGAAGGCCUUCGGGUUGUAAAGCACUUUCAGCCGUGAGGAAGGCAUUGUACUUAAUACGUGCAGUGUUUGACGUUAGCGGCAGAAGAAGCACCGGCUAACUCCGUGCCAGCAGCCGCGGUAAUACGGAGGGUGCGAGCGUUAAUCGGAAUUACUGGGCGUAAAGCGCAUGCAGGCGGUCUGUUAAGCAAGAUGUGAAAGCCCCGGGCUUAACCUGGGAAAGUCAUUUUGAACUGGCAGGCUAGAGUCUUGUAGAGGGGGGUAGAAUUUCAGGUGUAGCGGUGAAAUGCGUAGAGAUCUGAAGGAAUACCGGUGGCGAAGGCGGCCCCCUGGACAAAGACUGACGCUCAGAUGCGAAAGCGUGGGGAGCAAACAGGAUUAGAUACCCUGGUAGUCCACGCCGUAAACGAUGUCUACUUGGAGGCUGUAGUCUAGAACUGUGGCUUUCGGAGCUAACGCGUUAAGUAGACCGCCUGGGGAGUACGGUCGCAAGAUUAAAACUCAAAUGAAUUGACGGGGGCCCGCACAAGCGGUGGAGCAUGUGGUUUAAUUCGAUGCAACGCGAAGAACCUUACCUACUCUUGACAUCCACAGAAGCUUGAAGAGAUUCUGGUGUGCCUUCGGGAACUGUGAGACAGGUGCUGCAUGGCUGUCGUCAGCUCGUGUUGUGAAAUGUUGGGUUAAGUCCCGCAACGAGCGCAACCCUUAUCCUUGUUUGCCAGCGAGUAA